rfam:Microgenomates (Curtissbacteria) bacterium GW2011_GWA2_41_24 TT56_C0007, whole genome shotgun sequence.
GGGCCGAUAGCUCAGUUGGUAGAGCGUUGCAUUUGCACUGCAAAGGUCAGGGGUUCGAAUCCCCUUCGGUCCA